ensembl:lncRNA
CUUACCUCUCUAUUGCCCUUCCACAAGAAAGACUAUGGACCAGUGGAGGCUGCUGAAGGGGAGGACAGUUCAUAAUAAGGGCUGGUAUACCGCUCCAGCCAUUACCACGAGCACUUUCUCCCCAAUUAAGGUGCCACCAACCUCCUGUGGUAUGUACAGUGGUGAGAGGGGUCUAGGUGAAAGUGUAAGAACUACAUACUUAACUGGGAAAUGGACAAAGGAUUAACUUGAAGAUGGAUUGUACUCCGAGUAGAUGAUCAAGCGAAUGACUGGACUGUUGCUUCAUAUUCCAUCUUGGAUACUAUCUAUAUUCCAGAGCAGACUGGUGAGAGGAGCUAUAGGAGGAUGGGCUCAUUGCAACGGUUGGAAUGAAUGGAACGGUGUUAAACAUGUAGAAACCACAAUUCCACGCCAAGAAUCAGGCAGCUGGGGAGCAGCAGAACCCAGACAGAUGCCGAGAGAAGAGACCUCAUCCACAGGCAGCUGGGGAGCAGCAGAACCCAGACAGAUGCAGAGAGAAUCAUCUACAGGCAGUUGGGGAGCAGCAGAACCCAGACAGAUGCAGAGAGAAAAGAACUCAUCCACAGGCAGCUGGGGAGCAGCAGAACCCAGACAGAUGCAGAGAGAAGAGGCCUCACCUACAGGCAGCUGGGGAGCAGCAAAAC